GCAAGCCUGACGGAGCAACGCCGCGUGAGGGACGAAGGCCUUUGGGCUGUAAACCUCUUUUCUCAAGGAAGAAGAUCUGACGGUACUUGAGGAAUAAGCCACGGCUAAUUCCGUGCCAGCAGCCGCGGUAAUACGGGAGUGGCAAGCGUUAUCCGGAAUUAUUGGGCGUAAAGCGUCCGCAGGCGGCCGUUUAAGUCUGUUGUUAAAUCGUGGAGCUCAACUCCAUCACGGCAAUGGAAACUGUUCGGCUUGAGUACGGUAGGGGCAGAGGGAAUUUCCGGUGUAGCGGUGAAAUGCGUAGAUAUCGGGAAGAACACCAGUGGCAAAAGCGCUCUGCUGGGCCAUUACUGACGCUCAUGGACGAAAGCCAGGGGAGCGAAAGGGAUUAGAUACCCCUGUAGUCCUGGCCGUAAACGAUGAACACUAGAUGUUGGGGGAAUCGACCCCUCCGAUGUCGUAGCUAACGCGUUAAGUGUUCCGCCUGGGGAGUACGCACGCAAGUGUGAAACUCAAAGGAAUUGACGGGGGCCCGCACAAGCGGUGGAGUAUGUGGUUUAAUUCGAUGCAACGCGAAGAACCUUACCAAGGCUUGACAUCCUGCGAAUCUCCAAGAAACUGGAGAGUGCCUUCGGGAACGCAGUGACAGGUGGUGCAUGGCUGUCGUCAGCUCGUGUCGUGAGAUGUUGGGUUAAGUCCCGCAACGAGCGCAACCCACGUUUUUAGUUGCCAGCAUUCAGUCGGGCACUCUAGAAAGACUGCCGGUGACAAACCGGAGGAAGGUGUGGACGACGUCAAGUCAUCAUGCCCCUUACGCCUUGGGCUACACACGUACUACAAUGCUGCGGACAAAGAGUAGCGAUCUUGCGAAAGUUAGCUAAUCUCGUAAACCGUGGCUCAGUUCAGAUCGUAGGCUGCAACUCGCCUACGUGAAGGAGGAAUCGCUAGUAAUCGCAGGUCAGCAUACUGCGGUGAAUACGUUCCCGGGCCUUGUACACACCGCCCGUCACACCAUGGAAGUUGGCC
rnacentral:rRNA from 1 species